AUCGCUUUCCUGGCACCCCAAGUGAGUGUUGCGGAUAGGAACCAGAUUAAUGACGGUUCAGGUUUCCCAAAUGAAAGCCCGUAGCACACAGCUUGGUCCACAUGAAAAUGUAGGACCACCAGGGACCAGACAUCUUACAAGCAGGAUGCUGAGGUUAUGAUGCCAGAGCCAGGUAAACUAUGGAAACUAUGGUUGUGAGCCAGAAUGAAGGAAGUCACUCUGAAUAGCUCAGGAAUGUCUCUCCUUCAUGUACUUUUGUUGAGUACACUGGUGGCCUAUCCAUCAUCAGCCCAGGCACAGCUGUCCUCUGUGGUACUGAAGGCUAACCCAUGCCUACUCCUGGUCCAGGGAGAGGUUCUGACCCUCACCUGCCUGGCUGGGCUGGUACCAGGGAACCAUAAUAACAGGGAACCUCCCCUACCGACCCCUGCACCUGCCCUGACAUACAGCAUUGUGAGAGAGAACGUGACUGUGGCCAGUGGGUCCCAUGUUCUGCAGAUAGACAAGAUUACUCAGAGCCAGUCUGGCAGAUACAGGUGUACUGUUACUGACCACACAGGUGCACAGAGACACAGCAGAGAGGUGCAGGUUACUGUGGAAAAGGUUCUACUGACGCCCACUCUGAGCGUGGAGCCAGGACGACAGGUGUACACUGAGGACACAGUCACCUUGGCGUGUCAGUUACCUGGCCACUCUGGGCUGGGCUGGCAGUUCUACUGGCACAAAGACAGGCAGGACACAGGCCCUGUGGAGCAGCUGUGGGCUAGUGCUGGAGGCGGUGGUGGAGGUGGGGCGGUCUACAGACUGUGGCGUGCCUCUGUCACACACACAGGCCAGUACUGGUGCAGAGCAGGGAGAGGACAGCCAGUCUUCUACACUCAAUACAGCCAGGCAGUCUCUGUUAAUGUCAUUGAGCGCUUCAAAUCAGUGACUUUGUCAGCAUCUCCUUCGACCGUGGUCAAAGAGGGCGGCGCUUUCAACCUCACCUGUGAGGUCCAGCUUAGCGACAGCAAACUGAACCAACAUCAUGGUAACCACGGUCUACAUAGUCACCCUGAUCCUGACCGUAACCAGACCACAGUGGUUGUAACAUUCUCCUUCCUGAGGGACGGCUGGCCGGUGGUCAGGGACUCUGUCAGUGGGCUGUACAGCGUGGCGAGGGCUUCUAGCUGUCACAUGGGGACCUACAGCUGUGUGGUCAGAGCAGGCAGGGCCAGGAGGAGCAGCCAGGAGAUCAGCAUCACACUAGACAACCUGUCUCUGAUACUGGUCACCUGCUUUGGUACCUUCCUGAUCCUCUCCGUGGCCCCGUUGGCAUUUUUUGUGAGACAAUACGUGAUGAGACGAUGGCAGCUCAGAGGCAGAGGACAAGGAGAAUUGCAGUGCAAUGAGCGCAGUACAAUACAGGGACCAAAUUGAGAGGGAGGACAGGUUUUGUCUGGAAGGGACCUGAAUCUAGCUGUCGCUUCGAGAUGGACAUCACCUGAGAACCUGGCUGGUCUAAACCCUUGGAUGACAGAGGUGCGUAUAAACGGGUGGGCCUGGGUGGGUGCCCACUGGGAGACAGGCCCACCCACUGGGAGACAGGCCAACCCACUGGGAGACAGGCCCGACCACUGGGAGACAGGCCCGCGGACUGGGAGACAGGCCCGCCCACUGGGAGACAGGCCCGCCCACUGGGA